AGUCACGCGAGGCUGGCUUGCUGGAACUGGCUAGAAAAUGCAGCCCUAGCUGCCGCAGGGAUCUCCUCCCGUAUGCCCACACAUAUGAGUUCUGACAAUGCCCAUUAAUGAUAUGGCUGAUAGUUUCUUCUGUCUUGCUUCCAGGAACCUUUCUUGGUUUGAAGCCACCGAACCAGAAGAGAUAAUUUUUACCACUUUGGGGACUUCUUGUGACGAAUCCAGUGGGAAUUCCAUAAUAUUCAGAAACAAAACAUUUUGAGGGCCAACAAAUUAUUAAGCCCUUUGCUAGGUCUUAGAGAUACAAAGAUAAAGAAGACUGGAGUUUUCUUUUUUAUUAUCUACCAGACUGAAGGGCACUGCCUGGGGAGUUGAUCUAAGAGAAGAAAUAUCAGGAGACCUGGGUUUGGCUCCUGGCUCUGCCAGGUGAUCAUGGAGCAGUCACGUAUUAUCCCUGAGCUUCUGUUUCCUCAUCUACUUAAUUAGUGAUGGGCCUACAGGGCCUUGCUGGGGUCCACUUCUGACAUUCUGUGUUGCAUGGACCAUGUCAGAGAAGAUGGAGACACCUUCACGGCCUGUUAGUCACAUCUCACCAAAGCUUCUCAAUGGGCUGUCAGACAAGAAA
rnacentral:lncRNA from 1 species